rnacentral:tRNA from 1 species
CUCCUUAGCUCAGUUGGUAGAGCGACGGACUGUUAAUCCGCAGGUCGCUGGUUCGAGCCCAGCAGGAG